GAGGAGUGGGACAAGCUAGUUCAGAACCCAUUUCUUGCCUUUUACCAGAGAUGGCCGUGGUUUGCCCACAAUACUCCUCUACUGAAUCUUUGGACCUUUCAAUCGACACAGUUGUCGAUUU
rfam:Aspergillus oryzae RIB40 DNA, SC003.